rnacentral:lncRNA from 13 species
AUGAAGAGGAGAUGUGAGUGCUGGAAAAGAGAAAGUCGGGCCGGGUGCUGGGAUUACAGGCUUGAGCCACUGCGACCGGCCGCAACAUUCCUUAAAAUGACUAUGCGUUCUCCACUGAAUAUCCUUGAUGUCUUUUUUGAAAAAAAAAUUCACUGUAUAUCUGUGAAUCUAUUUCUGGAUUGUGUAUUCUAUUUCAUUAAUUUACAUGUCAAAAUGUAUCUAAUACCACACUGUUUGGACUAAUGUGGCUUUGUAUUAGGUAAAGAUCAAGAAGUGUGAAUCAUUAUAAUUUUUUUCUUCUUUUUCAAAAUUUAUUGUCUGUUAUAGUUCUUAGUUUUUCUUUCUGUUUUUAUGUAUUUUGAAGCUCUGUGCAUACAUACUUAAGAAUCAUAUGUCUCCUUAGGUAAUUGGGCCUUUCAUCAUAGGGUAAUAUCUCUCUUGAUCCCCAUGGUGUUUGCUCCAAAGAUGAUUUUGAUAUUAACAUAGCUAAUUUAGCUUUAUUUUAAUUUGUGUUAGAAUAGUACAUUUUUAGAAAUCUUUUUAUUCUAAGCCAUUCAUGCCUUUAUAUUUAAAGUUUACUUUUUUGUAGGGAGGGUAUAUUUGGGAUUGGGUGUUCUCACACAAACAAACAAACAAAUCUUAUAGCCUUUGUCUUUUAAUCAGUCAUUCUAGAAGAUUUACAUUAAUUGUAUAAUUGGUAUGAUGGGAUUAAAAUAUACCAGCUUGCUAAGAGUUUUACAUUUAUUCUGUCUCCUUUUCUCAUUUAUUUCUACUUUUUAAAUUGAGUAAAUUUUAUGAUUUCAAUUUAUUUCUACUUUGGGAUUAUUAUUUAUCACAAAGAAAUCUCAGUGAUUUCUCUAUGGUUUAAAAUAUGUGCCUUUUUAUUAAGGUAUACUUGACAAAAAUUAUAUAUAUGUAUGAUGUACAAUGUAAUUUUUCACAUCUAUUUAUUAUUGUGAGAACAUUGAAAAUCUCCUUAGCAAUAAAAUAUGCACUUAAAAUAUCA